CCUACGUGAGGCUGCAGUUGGGAAUUUUGGACAAUGGGGGCAACCCUGAUCCAGCCAUUCCGCGUGAGUGAAGAAGGCCUUCGGGUUGUAAAGCUCUUUCGCAAGGGAAGAAAACUUACUCAAUAACACUGGGUGAGGCUGACGGUACCUUGAUAAGAAGCACCGGCUAACUACGUGCCAGCAGCCGCGGUAAUACGUAGGGUGCGAGCGUUAAUCGGACGUACUGGGCGUAAUGUGUAAGCCGGCGGUUAAAUCCCCGGGCUCAACCUGGGAACUGCGUUUGAAACUACAAGGCUAGAGUAUGGCAGAGGGGGGUAGAAUUCCACGUGUAGCAGUGAAAUGCGUAGAGAUGUGGAGGAAUACCAAUGGCGAAGGCAGCCCCCUGGGUCAAUACUGACGCUCAUGCACGAAAGCGUGGGGAGCAAACAGGAUUAGAUACCCGAGUAGUC
rnacentral:rRNA from 1 species